rnacentral:rRNA from 1 species
GGAGAGGGCUAGCGUUAUUCGGAAUUAUUGGGCGUAAAGGGCGCGUAGGCGGAUUAGUAAGUUAAAAGUGAAAUCCCAAGGCUCAACCUUGGAAUUGCUUUUAAAACUGCUAAUCUAGAGAUUGAAAGAGGAUAGAGGAAUUCCUAGUGUAGAGGUGAAAUUCGUAAAUAUUAGGAGGAACACCAGUGGCGAAGGCGUCUAUCUGGUUCAAAUCUGACGCUGAGGCGCGAAGGCGUGGGGAGCAAACAGGAUUAGAUACCCUGGUAGUCCACGCUGUAAACGGUGGGUACUAGGUGUGGGUUCCUUUUCACGGGAUCCGUGCCGUAGCUAACGCAUUAAGUUCCCCGCCUGGGGAGUACGGCCGCAAGGCUAAAACUCAAAGGAAUUGACGGGGACCCGCACAAGCGGCGGAGUAUGCGGAUUAAUUCGAUGCAACGCGAAGAACCUUACCAAGGCUUGACAUAUACGAGAACGGGCCAGAAAUGGUCAACUCUUUGGACACUCGUAAACAGGUGG